GUUUUUUUCCAGCAAGAACUAUUAUAAAAGACUGUGUAAAAUGCACAGUUUUAGAUGGAGAUUAGUUUGUAAUCUAACCAAAAGGGUUUAAUUUUAUUUUCCCUAUUUAUGGUCAGAAUGGAGGCCUUGAUAUUCCCAGUACGAGUCAGGACAGAGCAGGAGCGGACACCUCGUCGCUGGGCGAUGUGGAGUCCAUCAUCCCGCUGGAAGUCAAGGAAGCCGAAGUGUGUUUGCAGGUGAGAUGCAUGCUGAGUAUCUGGGGUGUCAUGCUGUUCAUACGGCUGUCAUGGGUGUUCGGACAAGCGGGGAUAGGUGAGAUGUUCAUCCUGUGACCUUCAGAAACCUUCCCUGAACACACAGCAGGACCCUCGGGGAGCUCUUCCCAAAGGAAUGCUGCUGGCCAUCUUCAUCACAGGAAUAACGUACCUGGGCAUCGCGCUGGUUGUUUGUGAGUCCUGAACACACUUGAAAUGACUCUAGUCUCAGUCUGGACGUCUAACAGAAAGACUGUGCUGAUUCUCUGCAGCUGUGACGGUCGUUCGAGACGCG
ensembl:lncRNA